rnacentral:lncRNA from 8 species
CUUCCACGGCGGGAACUUCUAGCUCGUUAGUCAGGUAUGUUUCCAGUCAGCUAACGAGCCGUGUACAUCUCCUCCUUUUUAGCUAGAAACGUAAAUUAACCCCAUUCAAACAGGAAGUGUAUUGAUAUUGUAAAUAGCUAGUUCGUUUAUGCUUGCUAAAAGGUGUGUUAGUUGGAGAAUAUACAAGCUAGCUACAUAGUUAGCUAGUAGCAAGGAUACCUGGUACUUGGCAACUCAAACAGAUAAAAGUGGAAUGGUGUGUAUACCAGUUGGUCAAGGCAGUCGCAGUGGCUGCUCACCCUGUGGAGUACACCAUAGCAGGGGUGAAGAUGCAGUUCCCUUGGGCUAGAACAAAGAUGUCCACCCCGUCAGGAUCCUCUGAGGAAUGGAUUGAGAAAAACUAUCUGUACUGUAGCUGCACUUACUGCAGUUUAAGUCACACUCCCAAUCCCCUAGCUCAGCUCAGUUCCAGACCUCCCUCACCUCCGACCAGGAGAAGGAUGAUGACUUCCAGCCUGAUAGGAAAUGCAUCCACACCCCAACCAUGGAACAGAAGUUAG